UACCAUAAGGUAUCUGGCUUGUGGCAGCCAAACAUUCAUAGUAACGUUCAAUGUUGGCUGUUUCAUGGUGUUGGAUUGUUCACUUACUAACAGGGAAUGUGAGUUGGGUUUGAACCAUUGUGAGAUAUGUUAGUUUUAUCCUGUUGUUCAUUGUACUUCUCAUCCUAAGUUAUUCAACUUAGCAUGAGA
rnacentral:rRNA from 12 species